GUCAGUAUGUCCGAGUGGUUAAGGAGAUAGACUUGAAAUCUAUUGGGCUAUGCCCGCAUAGGCACAAAUCCUGUUGCUGACG
rnacentral:tRNA from 1 species